rnacentral:lncRNA from 1 species
AGAGGUUGGAAAAAUAUUUUUGUAUUUUUUGAAUAUUAAAAACUAUUUUAAAUGAAUUAAAAAUAAUCAGAAAAGAGAAAAAUACUAAAAAAUAUCAAAUGAUAAAAUAAAAAAUAUUAAAAAUCACUUUUGGAAAGUAGAAAUUAAAAGGAGAAAAAUUAAAUUGGUCUCAUAUUUUUUGGACCAAUAAUGAGAGAGAUAUGAAUUUUUAAAGAGAAAUGGAAUUAAAA